UGACUUCUGGAGUAAUGGCAACUCAGGCCUUUUUGGUGGGUCGGUUCUGCGUUCGAGUCGCGGGAAGUCAG
rnacentral:tRNA from 1 species